ACCAGAUUGUCUGUGUUGCCCUGAUUCACGGCGUUCACUUUCUGCAGGAUAAUGAGGCAUCACUGGCAUUUGGUGGCAGAAGAGGGAAAAGAAAUAUUCAAGUUGCCUUUCUCCUAUACAAGAGCAUCCAACAAGAGCCCCCACCGCCACCUCUUCUGAUUCCAAGAAGAGAGCAGCAGUCACCAUCUCGGCUCCCGGAUGCCACUCAAAAUAUCAAGAGGAGUCCUUCAGUUUCAAGACUGGGUGGCUUUGUGCUUUUUCAGUCAGAGAGAGUUGACCCGGCUUCUCAUCUGAUAGCUUUCUGCAGACCCUGCAGAAUAACGGGUGCUCGGCUUACCCGGUGAUUUACAGCCGUCUCAUUUGCUUCUCAUAUCUCCCCUUCCCAGAGAGCAGGAAGCCUUCCUUUCCUCUCUGGCCUCAAAGCAAUUUUCCUUAUCUCCCACAAGUUCAAGGCCCUUCUCCUUUAUGCGCUGCCGAUUCCCCUAAAUAAUGUUUUCUGUUUUCCUCUUUGUUCUCUCUUCUCCUCCCCUCCAUUCUCUACCAAUCAUUUCCUCCCUCCCUUCUCUUUCUAGCAUCAAUGUUUUGUUUUUUAUCAGAGGGGCCAAUCUCAUAUAAACAUAGAACUCUGCUAUUCA